rnacentral:misc_RNA from 1 species
AGCAGCCGCGGUAAUUCCAGCUCCAAUAGCGUAUAUUAAAGUUGUUGCAGUUAAAAGCUCGUAGUUGAAUUUCGGGAUUAAUAUGUUGGUCGUGCCUUGGUACGUACUGGCAUUAUUGAUUCCUACCUUCUGAAGAACCUCGAUGUCAUUAAUUUGGUGUCUUGGGGAAUCAGGACCGUUACUUUGAAAAAAUUAGAGUGUUUAAAGCAGGCUCGCGCUUGAAUACAUUAGCAUGGAAUAAUGAAAUAGGACGUUUGAUUCUAUUUUGUUGGUUUCUAGGAUCGACGUAAUGAUUAAUAGGGAUAGUUGGGGGCAUUAGUAUUCAAUUGUCAGAGGUGAAAUUCUUGGAUUUAUUGAAGACUGACUACUGCGAAAGCAUUUGCCAAGGAUGUUUUCAUUAAUCAAGAACGAAAGUUAGGGGAUCGAAGACGAUCAGAUACCGUCGUAGUCUUAACCAUAAACUAUGCCGACUAGGGAUCGGAUGAUGUUAAUUUUUUAAUGACUCAUUCGGCGCCUUACG